AGAGUUUGAUCCUGGCUCAGGACGAACGCUGGCGGCGCGCCUAACACAUGCAAGUCGAACGGGACUAUACUGGAAGAAGUUUUCGGAUGGAUUUCGGUAUAGUUUAGUGGCGGACGGGUGAGUAACACGUGAGCAACCUGCCUUCGAGAGGGGAAUAACGGCUGGAAACGGUCGCUAAUACCGCAUAACAUACCGGGAGGACAUCCUGCUGGUAUCAAAGAUUUAUCGCUCGAAGAUGGGCUCGCGUCCGAUUAGGUAGUUGGUGAGGUAACGGCUCACCAAGCCGACGAUCGGUAGCCGGACUGAGAGGUUGAACGGCCACAUUGGGACUGAGACACGGCCCAGACUCCUACGGGAGGCAGCAGUGGGGGAUAUUGCACAAUGGGGGAAACCCUGAUGCAGCGACGCCGCGUGUGGGAAGACGGUCCUCUGGAUUGUAAACCACUGUCCCCAGGGACGAAGAUGACGGUACCUGGGGAGGAAGCUCCGGCUAACUACGUGCCAGCAGCCGCGGUAAUACGUAGGGAGCGAGCGUUGUCCGGAAUUACUGGGUGUAAAGGGAGCGUAGGCGGGGAUGCAAGUUGGGUGUCAAAACUACCGGCUCAACUGGUAGUCGCACUCAAAACUGCAACUCUUGAGUGAAGUAGAGGCAGGCGGAAUUCCUAGUGUAGCGGUGAAAUGCGUAGAUAUUAGGAGGAACACCAGUGGCGAAGGCGGCCUGCUGGGCUUUUACUGACGCUGAGGCUCGAAAGUGUGGGGAGCAAACAGGAUUAGAUACCCUGGUAGUCCACACCGUAAACGAUGAUUACUAGGUGUGGGGGGUCUGACCCCUUCCGUGCCGGAGUUAACACAAUAAGUAAUCCACCUGGGGAGUACGGCCGCAAGGUUGAAACUCAAAGGAAUUGACGGGGGCCCGCACAAGCAGUGGAGUAUGUGGUUUAAUUCGAAGCAACGCGAAGAACCUUACCAGGGCUUGACAUCCUACUAACGAACCAGAGAUGGAUUAGGUGCCCUUCGGGGAAAGUAGAGACAGGUGGUGCAUGGUUGUCGUCAGCUCGUGUCGUGAGAUGUUGGGUUAAGU
rnacentral:rRNA from 1 species